rnacentral:rRNA from 1 species
UACGUAGGGUGCAAGCGUUUGUUCGGAAUUACUGGGCGUAAAGCGCGCGUAGGCGGGUCAGAAAGUCGAUUGUGAAAUCCCUGGGCUUAACCUGGGAACUGCAGUCGAAACUUCUGAUCUUGAGUGCCUGAGAGGAUGGCGGAAUUCCCGGUGUAGUAGUGAAAUACGUAGAUAUCGGGAAGAACACCUGAGGCGAAGGCGGCUAUCUGGCGGUGCACUGACGCUGAGGCGCGAAAAGCGUGGGGAGCAAACCG